GACGUUUAUGUCGGGAAAUCGCGAGAUAAAAAUCUUCUACGAAAAUGCGCUGGAUAUUUCGUCUUUUUCAUACAAUUUCUCGGCUCAUAAUUUAUGACAUGCUUUGAAAAUUUCCACAAUAUAGCAUGAAUAUGUCAUUUAAACACUGGCACAAUUGGUGGUUUGUAAUCCGCUUAUUUAAUUCAAAUUAUUCCCCUUGAAAGACACUGUUUCGUUUGAGCAGUUCACAGGUAGCGCAACCUGUCUCGUAGUGUUCAUUUUCAAUGGCUAUUAAACGCUGUAAAUCAAAAUGACAUCGUGUACUAAUGGAUGUCUUCAAUCGAAGAAAGUUCGGAAAUGAUAUUUCCACAUGCUUAAAAUAGGUUGGGAAGUUACGGUCUUGGCGAACAGCAUUCUCACUUUCAGUGUGACAACUGUUGCGGCCUAAAUAAAAACAACAUAGUCAUCUGGUACCUUCUGUGGAGAGUUCUUGUAGGUUUACACUGAAUCAUCACACUAAGCUUUAUGUUGAUAAGACAUACAAAGUUUACACCAGAUUGGCACUUUGGCAUCUGGAAGUCAAAGUGGAGAAACUUCAAUGCAGAAAUGUUGUCUGAUGUCGCUGCGUCUGUGGGGUUAUCGUCAAGGACGGGCCACAACAUCCCCCAGCUUGUGGGGGACUCUUCCAAUCCUGUUGUUAUCUAAGACAGGAAGGAUUACCUUACGACAUUGUUUCACCACAUAAAGAAUGUCACCAAAUUUCAUCAAUUUCCAUUUGUCAGCGGAGCAUCCCGGUGUUGUGGAAUGCAGGGAAUUCAGUGACUCACCAGUAGUCAGAAUCACUCUCAGGAAGGUCUCGAAAGUGAAUGUUAAUGUGAGCUGUGACAACCUGCUAUAAGAAAUGUUUGCGAAAGGGCUUGAUCUGGACCAUCAGUGGUAUUUAUUUGAAAACAUUCGUGAAUUCUGUCGCAUAGAUGAACCAAAAACUUGACAUGUCCAAAACGCGCUACUGGUGAGCAACAAAAAACAGACUGUGCCCCCCAAAAAAGAAGAUGCAUUAAGAUGCGCAUCUGAUCUUCUCUGAUGGUGCCACAACAAUUACAUACAUCAUGUAUCAGUGUUUAUUUUGGCCAAGGUAUUUGGUGAUAUAUUUUCCCACAAACAAUGCAAAAAUCCUCUAUUCCUAGGAAAGCUAAAACAUUUAUACGAUUGCUAAAUGUGUCAGUUGAUACAGGUUUUGAAAUGUUCAAUGCAAACUUUUGUUGUUUUAAUUGCACAAGCUUGUUUUCAAGUUUUUUAUAUCUCAUAUUUACAAAACAAAAAUCAUUUUUUCCAUGUAGAUCUAACCAUGCAGUUGUUUUCACCUUAUGGACACAGACUGCCUAUCAGAAAAACUGGAAAAAAAUCAGUGUGAAUAUUGUAUUUAUUUAUGUUUUACAAUGAAAAUCCUAUAUUUUUGUUUGUUUGCUACAUUGUUUCCAUAGUAACAAAAACAAACAAGUUAUUGUUUAUUUUGUCUAUUUUUGUCUAUCAGAAAUAAUGAUAAAUAAUGAUUAUUUCAUUUACUGAAACAUUUAGUAUCCAAGUGUACUUUCAACCAACACUUUUCAAUGCUGUUUUUCCAUUUUUUAGUGUUUGAGGUUACAUUAUACUUAAAUACACAUGUAACUGAAUAAAAAAAGGAAAUUGUUCAUGGAACACACACAUUAUUGAUUGUUAUCGUUUAACUGGUUACAAAACAGUGAAAUUAAUGUUGUGUUUGCCUUUAAACAAACACUUGAUUGAAAAUACAAUUCAUAGAUUUAUAAAAGGCGUGAUUGUGUGCUCUGGUGAUUAUUAACAUGUAGAUUGGUUACCAUAGCAACACAAAUGGUACAUUUUAAAUGUCCAUAAUGCUGUUGUCAGUUUAUUGCACUAUAAAUAUGUAUUUGACUAAAGGAAAGAUUAUUGUUUUAAUAAAACAAUGUGCUGGUUG